UCUCUUCCUCUCUCUCUCAUCAUCAUCAGCAGCAGCAUCCAGGACAGACCCCCCCCCCCUAAUUCUUCGGCAAGAUGAUUUCCAUAAUGGGCAUUCUCAAUUUCUUCUAUAACUCCCUGUUGGUGCUCUUCAUCUCGGCGCACUUGUUAGUAGGUGGAGCACUCACCUUCGGCGCGGGUAUGUACGCGGGAAUCUACGUCACCCAGAACUACGAGGUUCCGCGGGUGGACGAGCCCUCGAGGCUGUGGGAGAAGGUGAAGGAGUGGGCGGAGUCGCACAAGAAGAAGGAUUAGAGCGGAGGAGGACGACGACUGCUAGCAGGUUGAGAAGAGAGAGAGAGAUUGGAGUAGCUUGUGACUUCGUUGACAUCAGCGCCCCCGAUGGACUACGAUUCUUCACGAUAAGCCAAGGCACCACAUCACCAUAACAAAUCAACUAGAUUUAAGGAUAGGUAGCGCAUAUUGUGCCAUAGGAUGAAAGAGGUCUAUUUGAACACCUAAGCUCUUUUUUUGUUUUUUGUUUUUGUUUUUUUCCCCUCUUCACCGUGAGGUCAUAAUUGUACAGUUUUUCCAAGUGAAAGAACGCCAGUGUGGCACUUGAACAGAAACACUCAGGCUUGUUCACAUCCGUUGUCCAUGUGUCUGCCAGAAGAGAUGUUGGGAUUAUUUUAAUUACAUUUAUGAUUUUUGCUCCAGUUUAUUAUUGUUGAAGCGUGGGGUUUCAUUUCGUCUUGAUUAAUAAAAAGUUGCCCAUAG